rnacentral:rRNA from 1 species
UGGGGAAUAUUGGACAAUGGGCGAAAGCCUGAUCCAGCCAUGCCGCGUGUGUGAAGAAGGCCUUUUGGUUGUAAAGCACUUUAAGCGAGGAGGAGGCUACUUGGAUUAAUACUCUAGGAUAGUGGACGUUACUCGCAGAAUAAGCACCGGCUAACUCUGUGCCAGCAGCCGCGGUAAUACAGAGGGUGCGAGCGUUAAUCGGAUUUACUGGGCGUAAAGCGUGCGUAGGCGGCUUUUUAAGUCGGAUGUGAAAUCCCUGAGCUUAACUUAGGAAUUUCAUUCGAUACUGGGAAGCUAGAGUAUGGGAGAGGAUGGUAGAAUUCCAGGUGUAGCGGUGAAAUGCGUAGAGAUCUGGAGGAAUACCGAUGGCGAAGGCAGCCAUCUGGCCUACUACUGACGCUGAGGUACGAAAGCAUGGGGAGCAAACAGG